CUCUCUCGUAGCCCACCCUAAAUUUACCAAGUUCCUCAUCAACCAUUUCUACAGAAUAUUCAUCCUGGAGACCCUAUGAAUAGUCUUACUGCAGACCAGACCUGUAUUGACCUAAUUGUGUCUGAAAACCCCCUGAUCUUCUUCCAAAGAACUUGAAUGAAUCGGCAUCUCAACCCAUUAAAUUGAAUGGAAAGUCGAACCGCAAACCAUACAGUUCAAAGAGGAACGUCUUCCCAUUCCAUCAAAGAGCAACCUCGAUGGUGGACAGCAACUCCCACAGCAGCUUUGAAGGCCAGUAGAAUUCCUCCUAUCCCACCGCCAAGCCAAUUGGCUCUGAAGACAGAGACCGCCCUGCAGGUGUCUGCUUGAGGUCCCGGGCGGGCACCUUUCUAACCUGCGGGAGCGCCAGAACCAAUGCGAUGUUCCCUGUGGAAUCCCCAGCUAAGAUCGACAACUUCACACAGCCAGGACACUCCCCUGCGCACCCCUCGCGGUCCCGUCUUUAC